rnacentral:rRNA from 1 species
AUUGAACGCUGGCGGCAUGCUUUACACAUGCAAGUCGAACGGCAGCGCGGGCUUCGGCCUGGCGGCGAGUGGCGAACGGGUGAGUAAUACAUCGGAACGUGCCCAGUAGUGGGGGAUAGCUCGGCGAAAGCCGGAUUAAUACCGCAUACGACCUGAGGGUGAAAGCGGGGGAUCUUCGGACCUCGCGCUAUUUGAGCGGCCGAUGGCAGAUUAGCUAGUUGGUUGGGUAAAGGCCUACCAAGGCGACGAUCUGUAGCUGGUCUGAGAGGACGACCAGCCACACUGGGACUGAGACACGGCCCAGACUCCUACGGGAGGCAGCAGUGGGGAAUUUUGGACAAUGGGCGAAAGCCUGAUCCAGCAAUGCCGCGUGUGUGAUGAAGGCCUUCGGGUUGUAAAGCACUUUUGGCGGGAACGAAAAGGACUGUGCCAAUACCACGGUUCGAUGACGGUACCCGCAGAAUAAGCACCGGCUAACUACGUG